AUUAAUCAAAAAAUUACUCUUAUGAGUUGGUUAUUUUUAAGUUAUUUAAAAACUUAAGGUGUUACAAGUGCAAUCCAAAUAAAUGACUCCCAUGAGCAGGUUCUUAGUGAAUCAAUCACUUUUCAUCCGUGUGAUGGAAACGAGUUGUUAUUGUUGCUUUUUCACAUCUUUUAGUUAAAAGAUACAGAAUUAU